AACGAACGCUGGCGGCAUGCCUAACACAUGCAAGUCGAACGAGACCUUCGGGUCUAGUGGCGCACGGGUGCGUAACGCGUGGGAACCUGCCCUUAGGUUCGGAAUAACUCCCCGAAAGGGGUGCUAAUACCGGAUAAUGUCUUCGGACCAAAGAUUUAUCGCCUUUGGAUGGGCCCGCGUUGGAUUCGCUAGUUGGUAGGGUAAAAGCCUAACACGGCGACGAUCCAUAGCUGGUCUGAGAGGCAGGUCAGCCACACUGGGACUGGGACACGGCCCAGACUCCUACGGGAGGCAGCAGUGGGGAAUAUUGGACAAUGGGCGAAAGCCUGAUCCAGCAAUGCCGCGUGAGUGAUGAAGGCCUUAGGGUUGUAAAGCUCUUUUACCCGGGAUGAUAAUGACAGUACCGGGAGAAUAAGCUCCGGCUAACUCCGUG
rnacentral:rRNA from 1 species